rnacentral:rRNA from 1 species
GGAAUCAACGCUGGCGGCGUGCCUCAGACAUGCAAGUCGAACGCGAAAGUCCCCUUCGGGGGACAAGUAGAGUGGCGCACGGGUGAGUAACACGUAGGUAAUCUACCUUCGGACGGGGAAUAACAACCGGAAACGGUUGCUAAAUACCGCAUAAUGCAGCGGCACCUAAUGGUGACAGUUGUUAAAGCGGGGGAUCGAAAGACCUCGCGUCUGAAGAGGAGCCUGCGGCGGAUUAGCUAGUUGGUAAGGUAAUGGCUUACCAAGGCUACGAUCC